UACAGAGGUCUCAAGCGUUGUUCGGAUUUAUUGGGCGUAAAGGGUGCGUAGGCGGCCUUUUAAGUCAGUGGUGAAAUCUCUGGGCUUAACCCAGAAAUUGCCAUUGAUACUGUAGGGCUUGAGUAUAGUUGACGUUGGCGGAAUAUGACAUGUAGUGGUGAAAUACAUAGAGAUGUCAUAGAACACCGAUUGCGAAGGCAGCUGACGAAACUGUAACUGACACUGAGGCUCGAAAGUGCGGGGAUCAAACAGG
rnacentral:rRNA from 1 species